CCCCAAUCUCGAGGCAGAUGGAGCGGAGUGCGUUGAGUUCUCUUUAAUGAUGUGAAUCUGUCUUUUUAACCACCCUUCACCCUUGAGGAAUGGGGGAGAAAUAAUCUUCCUGGAGUGAGAUUCCAACUGGACAUUAGGUGCCCCCUUGGGAGGUUUUUGAAGAUUGAAUAAUGGAGAUGAGGAAGGUACUGCGGACCCUUGUGACGGAUUGGUUUGAGCCAUUCAGUCAUUCAUUAAUUCACCCAAGCUCUGCUAGGCUUUGGGAGUUUACUGCACUUUUCUAGGUCUCGGGAAUACAGCAGUGAAGAAAACAGACAAAAAUGGAACUUGAAUUCCAGUGUGGGUGGAGGGAGACAGACAGUAGAGAAGAUACAUGAUUGAAAUGCAUGGUGUAUUAGACGGUGGUGAACUCUUCAAGAACAGCUGUGUGCUUGCCAUGCCACUACAGAGGACAAGGUGCAAAGGGCUGCCACACACAUUGCCCUGGGGCUCACCCUCUUGACAUAGUCAUUCAGGAAGACAGCAAGGAAGGAAUGCGCAAGUACUACAGCACUGCCAAAUCCGCAUGGAAUCUGUUUGAAGACAUUGUUAGUGGCGAUUAAACCAACACCUGUGGUGUUAACAAUGCACAAAACUCAAGAGAAAGGAUGACAAGAUGCAGAACUGUGACCAAGUCUGUGCACGUGCAGCCAACUGCAACUAUAUCACGACUAUCUCCUGGCUGCUUGCAAUUUGAGCUACUGUUGAUUACAACAUACAGCCUUAUUUCAGAGAUGUAAAAAUAUGAAAAAAAGUGUCAUAAGUUUAAUGGAAUACAAUAUUAAAAUUUAAA